GCUAUCACUGUGUAGUCACACAGGAGAAAACGAACCGUCAGACUGAGGCCUCUGUGUUUGUUAAUGGGGCUGGAGUGCAGUUGCAUGGUUCAGAUGAUGUGUCCAGAAAAGUGAUGAUUGGACUCAUAGCUGCAGUCCUUGCUGAGUUGUUGUAGGUUUAUCUUCACUUCACUGCAACUGGCUGUAAGAAAGGUUCAUCAUGAGACAAAAGGGAGAACUUUACAAGAAGGAGAGCAGAGUCAGAUCAGCAACGUCCACUAUGAAGUUAUCUGCAGG